rnacentral:rRNA from 1 species
UACGUAGGGCGCAAGCGUUAUCCGGAAUUAUUGGGCGUAAAGAGCUCGUAGGCGGUUUGUCGCGUCUGCCGUGAAAGUCCGGGGCUCAACUCCGGAUCUGCGGUGGGUACGGGCAGACUAGAGUGAUGUAGGGGAGACUGGAAUUCCUGGUGUAGCGGUGAAAUGCGCAGAUAUCAGGAGGAACACCGGUGCGAAGGCGGGUCUCUGGGCCGAUACUGACGCUGAGGAGCGAAAGCGUGGGGAGCGAACAGG